rnacentral:lncRNA from 1 species
AUAAAUGCUGCUGCUUUUUUUUUAAGAUUUGACCUCAUGCAAAACCACAGAUCUCUCUACCGUACUCCUCUCGAGUCCUACGGAUUGCAGCCAGCUCAACAAAUUUUGUCAUGUUCACCGUUCACGCUCUCCAAACAACUUGAUGAUGAUUCCUAAAAAAAAAACUUGAUGAUCUAGAUUGGGAACCGAUCGAACAGUGGGCGGGGCUAUGGCUUGCAAUACGACAGCUACCUUUUGUCUGCAACCAAUUUGACACCAGCAAUAACAACCGCUAGCUCACUUAAAAGUCCAAAAUCAUAUCCCAUGCGGCGAGAUUGCACCUCACAUUGGAAUAAAACAUCUAUAAAAAAUCCCAUCCCAUCCAUCACGAACAGGCCAAGGCUGUCAGGCUUUUUCUUGACUAAGAUAACAAUUCUUUUGGUAGUACAAAUCGUGAAAUUUGAAAGUGUUUAAUGUCCCUCCUGUUUGAUUUAAUUUUGUAUAAACUUGAGUAUAUAUGCUUAUUUGCAUCAUUUUCAAUCCAACUUAGUUUACGCAAUAUUUCUUCAUAAUUCGAUCAUUUUAAAGGUCCUAUGUUGAUUAUAUUACAUUACUUGAUAUAUCACAAUAGGUGAAAGAGUAACACAUAUGAGAUUAAACAUACAAAACUUAGUCUCCGGUGCACAAUGCCUAAAUUUAUAUGAUGACAAAGUUAAACUUAAUCUUGAUGGGAUCUGGAUAGUUUUGGCAACCUUGAUUAUACCUCUUCCUGUCAUAACUACUCAACAAAGUUUAACAUACGAGUAUACGACCUCACCAUUGCAAAGUGACACACUAGCCGUGCCAAUUUUCUAGCUCAUCAUACACGCACACGCUGUUUGCACAAUGCAAAAUUCUUGUAAAAUCUUACACGGAAAAUAAUGCUCCUUUGGAAUCAAGAACUCGUCGCUCUCAUCUUUUGUCUUCAACCAAUUGUCACCAAUGAUACCACCCACCCACUUGCUCAUCAAAAUCCAACCCAAUAGGAGAAAUAUCACAGCUCUCGGCGGCGGAAAAAUAUCCUAUAAAAAUUGCAAUGCAUCAUAUCAUGGAAAUCGUUGUCCUUCUGUGCUUUAAUUUUUUAAUAAUCCGUACAAAGAAAUGAUAUAGUAGCAAGUGAUCUCAAAAAUAAGUUUGGUGUCAUUUUGUUCUAAAAUACCAAAUCCUCUUUGUAAAAUCAUGAAUUACGACCUCAACCCCAAACACAAGACCCUCC